UACAGAGGGGGCAAGCGUUGUUCGGAAUUACUGGGCGUAAAGGGCGCGUAGGCGGCCUUCUAAGUCGAACGUGAAAUCCCCGGGCUCAACCCGGGAACUGCGUCCGAUACUGGAAGGCUUGAAUCCGGGAGAGGGAUGUGGAAUUCCCGGUGUAGCGGUGAAAUGCGUAGAUAUCUGGAGGAACACCGGUGGCGAAGGCGACAUCCUGGACCGGUAUUGACGCUGAGGAGCGAAAGCGUGGGGAGCGAACAGG
rnacentral:rRNA from 1 species